rnacentral:tRNA from 1 species
CGGGAUAGCUCAGUUGGUAGAGCAGAGGDAC